UGAGGAAUAUUGGACAAUGGGCGCAAGCCUGAUCCAGCCAUGCCGCGUGCAGGAAGAAGCAUCUAUGGUGUGUAAACUGCUUUUGUACGGGAAGAAACACUCCUACGUGUAGGAGCUUGACGGUACCGUAAGUAUAAGGAUCGGCUAACUCCGUGCCAGCAGCCGCGGUAAUUCGGAGGAUCCAAGCGUUAUCCGGCAUCAUUGGGUUUAAAGGGUCCGUAGGCGGUUUAGUAAGUCAGUGGUGAAAGCCCAUCGCUCAACGAUGGAACGGCCAUUGAUACUGCUAGACUUGAAUUAUUAGGAAGUAACUAGGAUAUGUAGUGUAGCGGUGAAAUGCUUAGAUAUUACAUGGAAUACCAAUUGCGAAGGCAGGUUACUACUAAUAGAUUGACGCUGAUGGACGAAAGCGUGGGGAGCGAACA
rnacentral:rRNA from 1 species